rnacentral:lncRNA from 1 species
GCUUAGUCAACAGGAUCUGUUCAUUAAAACCAAGUGUAUUACAUUUCAGCUCUAUAUCUGUUGCAAGCAACACACUCGCAAAGUUUAUGAACAAAUUGAUUUUCUUUCAAAUAGCAUCAUUUUCAUGAGGUAUUUUACAUUUGAUCUCAUUACUCAUUGUGCAGUUUGAUUAGUUAGGUUCAUUAUAGCCCUGCAGAUAGAAGCAAGCUCAGAGACAGGCUCAUAAGAAAUAAAAAAGAAUCCUUAAAACAUAUGCAAACAUAUUUUCUGCUCUUUUUCCAUCUUAAGUUCUACUUAGAAAAUCAGAACUUUGACAGGAGGAUAGUGAUUUUACCAAAACUUUGGGAUUCUAAUUAGCAAAAAAUAAGGUAGCUAUUGCUAUUGUUUGGAUAUUGAAUAUUCUAUGCUAAGUCAGUACCUAGGUUGGUGCUAUUAAAAGUACUGUGGAACUUUAGGGCACUAUAUGGUUCCUAAGUCACUAUGAGACCAGGUCCUUGCAGGAGUUCUGUAACGUCCGGAUUCUUCUUGGUCCUAUGGCUUUACCCAUAGAUUAUGAAGAUAGUGGUUUCCUCUAUUGUUUGUCCAUAUUAGUGUAUUGUUUUCACUAAGCCAACAACAACAGCACCAGCAACAAUAAUCAACCAACCAAACCAAAACAACAACAACAAUAACAACCAUGGAUCAACAUUAUAAGCAAAAAAAAAAAAAAAAAAAAAUCAAACAAGCAGAAAAAUUUAUUCUUUAAGCCUGUGUAUGUGUGCAUGUGUGUGAUUGUGUGUGUGUGUGUGUGUGUGUGUGCGCGUGCACGCGCGCACACACAUGCACACAAUUGGGGAUCAAAUAUAGCCUCAGGAAGACUAGACCAACCCAACAGAUGGACAUCUCUCCUCACUUUUAUCUUUCUGUGAGGUGUUGUCUUAUUUGUGACAUUUGGAUUUUAGUGGAAGCAGUUUAAUGGAGCUUUCAAACUUUUAGGGAAAUAAAGGCCUAUGUAGAUAAUCAGUGCAAACAAACAGCCCUCCCAUAACCUUGACCUAAAUGUCAGUAAAAUAAAUUUACAAUUUUAUUUAUUCUGUUUAUCAACUAUAUUGCACUAAAAUAAAAAAAUAUUUCUACUUAAAUCAAUAGAUCUAAUUAGUAUAUAUCUUUAAGUGUCAGAGUGAGGCUGAUGAACUUUUUAUGUGUUUACAUGCUCACACCCAUGUGAACAUUGGAGACCAGAAGAAGACAUUGAGUAUUCUGCUCUAUCACUAUCUGUUUAUUCUCUUUAGAAGGUCUUGCUGAACCUGCAGAUCAGGUGGAAGUCAGCAAGUCCCAGUGACUUUCCUGUCUCCAUCCCCUGAGCACUGGGGAUAGACAUGAACAACAAUGCCCUGCUUCAUAUGUGGGUGCUCAGCUCCAAAUCAUAUCUCUUCAAAUGCAACACACUAAGGCAUCUAUCUAGUUCCAUAUCUAUUUUCUAAAAUAUAUGUUAUUGUAGCCCAUUUUAUUGUCACAUACUUUUAUGAUUUAUGUACUAGUUAUUUUAAGAACAUUAUUACAAAUUAAAUAAUACAUUAUCAAACUAUAACAUCUGAGCAAUAUAAACAUGACAUAUCAACACGAUGUACCAUACAAAAUAAUGUAUACUCAGAAUAUUCAUUUUCACUAAAACUAACUUUUAUGUGUGAACUUGCUUUCCAGCAUAAUCUAACAUAAUUACUAGCAGAAAUAUAUUUUGUGGCAAGCUCACUGUUAUUAUAGGCAUUACACAUGAAUAAUUUCUAUAUUAAAUAGUAAAACCCAUAAAGCACUAGCUGGCAUAGCCCACAGCCUGCGUUAAAACACACGGCAUAUGAACAAUCAUUUUGUAAGGCUGCUUAAAUAAAGAGAAACAAAUUAACAAAAGAUGAAAUCAAAGGAUUUUUUCCACGUGAUGUGUUUCUAUGCAUGGGUGGCCCUAAAGUCCCUACCAUC